UUGCUCGCUUCGGCAGCACAUAUACUAAAGUUGGAAUGAUACAGAGAAGAUUAGCAUGGCCCCUG
rnacentral:snRNA from 1 species